rnacentral:rRNA from 1 species
CCUACGGGAGGUAGCAGUGAGGAAUAUUGGUCAAUGGACGCAAGUCUGAACCAGCCAUGCCGCGUGCAGGAAGACGGCUCUAUGAGUUGUAAACUGCUUUUGUAAGAGGGUAAACGCAGAUACGCGUACCUGUCUGAAAGUAUCGUACGAAUAAGGAUCGGCUAACUCCGUGCCAGCAGCCGCGGUAAUACGGAGGAUUCAAGCGUUAUCCGGAUUUAUUGGGUUUAAAGGGUGCGUAGGCGGUCGGAUAAGUUAGAGGUGAAAUCCCGAGGCUCAACUUCGGAAUUGCGUCUGAUACUGUUCGGCUAGAGAGUAGGUGCGGUAGGCGGAAUGUAUGGUGUAGCGGUGAAAUGCUUAGAGAUCAGACAGAACACCGAUUGCGAAGGCAGCUUACCAAGCUACUUCUGACGUUGAGGCACGAAGGCGUGGGGAGCGAACAGGAUUAGAUACCCUUGUAGUC